rnacentral:lncRNA from 1 species
GUGGGAUUUCUUCCUCUUGUGGCUCAGAACAUGGGAUAGCUAAAGUAGAUGAAAUAUUUGGCAGAGUGUCUACUUCGGCUUCGUAGGUUUCAUCAUGAAGGGUAUUAUCUGUUGAUAUUUGGUAACGCAAUAAGGAAAUGAUCCGCAAGCGCACGGAUAUCGGUGAGCAUUUCACUAGGGAGAUUUUCCAGAGUAUCGUAUUUAUAUUUUUACCAUUGGGAGAAAGGGUGCAUCUGACUAACCAAAUCUAUUGCUACUACCCCUUUAGGCUACAAAGAAUGUCUCUCGAUGUGAGUGAUGUAUAGAGAAGACUGCAACCGUAGUCUCGUUCUAACCUUGGUAAGGAUGAUCUACUAUUCUAUUGGGGAGGCUCACGGAAUCUAGACAACACAAAGGAUGUUCGACCCGACCUAUAACCCUACCCGUCCUGCUAACGAGAUGUGAUCUACAAAGGUAACUCGGAAAUGUCACGUUCCUCGCUACUACCACGGUCCAGCUAGUCAGG